UCGGGAAUUUUGGACAAUGGGCGCAAGCCUGAUCCAGCCAUGCCGCGUGCAGGAUGACGGUCCUAUGGAUUGUAAACUGCUUUUUGUACAGGAAGAAACAGUUCUACGUGUAGAACCUUGACGGUACUGUAAGAAUAAGGAUCGGCCAACUCCGUGCCAGCAGCCGCGGUAAUACGGAGGAUCCAAGCGUUAUCCGGAAUCAUUGGGUUUAAAGGGUCCGUAGGCGGUUAGAUAAGUCAGUGGUGAAAGCCCAUCGCUCAACGGUGGAACGGCCAUUGAUACUGUCUGACUUGAAUUAUUAGGAAGUAACUAGAAUAUGUAGUGUAGCGGUGAAAUGCUUAGAGAUUACAUGGAAUACCAAUUGCGAAGGCAGGUUACUACUAAUGGAUUGACGCUGAUGGACGAAAGCGUGGGUAGCGAACAGGAUUAGAUACCCCAGUAGUCCCUGAGCGGGCUGGCAAGGCGCAU
rnacentral:rRNA from 1 species